rnacentral:misc_RNA from 1 species
GGAAGUAAAAGUCGUAACGAGGUUUCCGUAGGUGAACCUGCGGAAGGAUCAUUAUUGUAUAACCGAGGUGCGAGGGCUGUCGCUGCCCCGAAAGGUCGUGCACGCCCGAGUGCCCUCACACACAUCCAUCUCACCCCUAUGUGCACCACCGCGUGGGUCCCCCUUUGGCUUGUUCGGAGGGGGGCUUACGUUUUCACACAAACUUUGUAUGCAGUGUAGAAUGUAUUUUUUGUUUUUGCGAUCACGCAAUCAAUACAACUUUCAACAACGGAUCUCUUGGCUCUC